rnacentral:rRNA from 1 species
AGCGAACGCUGGCGGCAGGCCUAACACAUGCAAGUCGAACGAACUCUUCGGACUUAGUGGCGGACGGGUGAGUAACACGUGGGAACGUACCUUUUGGUUCGGAACAACUCAGGGAAACUUGAGCUAAUACCGGAUGAGCCCUUAGGGGGAAAGAUUUAUCGCCGAAAGAGCGGCCCGCGUUAGAUUAGCUAGUUGGUGAGGUAAAGGCUCACCAAGGCUAAGAUCUAUAGCUGGUCUGAGAGGAUGAUCAGCCACACUGGGACUGAGACACGGCCCAGACUCCUACGGGAGGCAGCAGUGGGGAAUCUUGCGCAAUGGGCGAAAGCCUGACGCAGCCAUGCCGCGUGAAUGAUGAAGGUCUUAGGAUUGUAAAAUUCUUUUACUAGGGACGAUAAUGACGGUACCUGGAGAAAAAGCCCCGGCUAACUUCGUGCCAGCAGCCGCCGUAAAAC